rnacentral:rRNA from 1 species
UACGUAGGGUGCAAGCGUUGUCCGGAAUUAUUGGGCGUAAAGAGCUCGUAGGCGGUCUGUUGCGUCGGCUGUGAAAACCCGGGGCUCAACUCCGGGCCUGCAGCCGAUACGGGCAGACUAGAGUUCGGCAGGGGAGACUGGAAUUCCUGGUGUAGCGGUGAAAUGCGCAGAUAUCAGGAGGAACACCGGUGGCGAAGGCGGCUUUCUGGACAGAUACCGACGCUGAGGCACGAAAGCUAGGGGAGCAAACAGG